UGGCGGACGGGUGAGUAAUAUAUCGGAACGUACCCUAGAGUGGGGGAUAACGUAGCGAAAGUUACGCUAAUACCGCAUGCGAUCUAAGGAUGAAAAUGGGGGAUCGCAAGACCUCAUGCUCGUGGAGCGGCCGAUAUCUGAUUAGCUAGUUGGUAGGGUAAAAGCCUACCAAGGCAUCGAUCAGUAGCUGGUCUGAGAGGACGACCAGCCACACUGGAACUGAGACACGGUCCAGACUCCAACGGGAGGCAGCAGUGGGGAAUUUUGGACAAUGGGCGAAAGCCUGCUCCAGCAAUGCCGCGUGAGUGAAGAAGGCCUUCGGGUUGUAAAGCUCUUUUGUCAGGGAAGAAACGGUGAGAGCUAAUAUCUCUUGCUAAUGACGGUACCUGAAGAAUAAGCACCGGCUAACUACGUGCCAGCAGCCGCGGUAA
rnacentral:rRNA from 1 species